GUUUCUUUGCCUCUACGUGCGCAGGGCCGUGUGAGGUCACCGGGAAUAGAAAAGGCGUUUGUGCAAAUGAGGGGCAGCUGAAAACAACCCACUGUUUCUGGUCUGUGAAGAGUCUGACUCUGAAGCGUCACGUUGGAAUUAUUUCAAAAGGAAGCUACAAACCUAGCUGAUCAGAGCUCCACAGGUGCAAUAACAGUUCCUGACUGAUAAAGAAGAAAUAAAAGUUUCUGCUGGAUUUAUUUAGGACAUGCCUAUGCAGCCAGGUUUUGCAGAUCAUGAAGUAAAUAUAGGCUGGUUUUCUGAGUUUGGUGGUGAGCAGACAUCCACUGAAGAAAGAUACGGGAAUAAGCCAAGAAUGAGAAAGUAGCAAAAUCCUCUGCUACAGCAGUAUGUUGAAAAGCUUGCAAGACUAUAAUUUAUAUGCACUUGUAAA